UACGUAGGGUGCAAGCGUUGUCCGGAAUUAUUGGGCGUAAAGAGCUCGUAGGCGGUUUGUCGCGUCUGCUGUGAAAAUCCGGGGCUCAACCCCGGACUUGCAGUGGGUACGGGCAGGCUAGAGUGUGGUAGGGGAGACUGGAAUUCCUGGUGUAGCGGUGAAAUGCGCAGAUAUCAGGAGGAACACCGAUGGCGAAGGCAGGUCCUG
rnacentral:rRNA from 1 species